AUUGAACGCUGGCGGCAGGCUUAACACAUGCAAGUCGAGCGGGCGAGGUUGCUUCGGUAACCGAGCUAGCGGCGGACGGGUGAGUAAUGCUUAGGAAUCUGCCUAUUAGUGGGGGACAACAUUCCGAAAGGAAUGCUAAUACCGCAUACGCCCUACGGGGGAAAGCAGGGGAUCUUCGGACCUUGCGCUAAUAGAUGAGCCGAAGUCAGAUUAGCUAGUUGGUGGGGUAAAGGCCUACCAAGGCGACGAUCUGUAGCGGGUCUGAGAGGAUGAUCCGCCACACUGGGACUGAGACACGGCCCAGACUCCUACGGGAGGCAGCAGUGGGGAAUAUUGGACAAUGGGCGCAAGCCUGAUCCAGCCAUGCCGCGUGUGUGAAGAAGGCCUUUUGGUUGUAAAGCACUUUAAGCGAGGAGGAGGCUACUUGGAUUAAUACUCUAGGAUAGUGGACGUUACUCGCAGAAUAAGCACCGGCUAACUCUGUGCCAGCCGCCGCAGUAA
rnacentral:rRNA from 1 species